rnacentral:rRNA from 1 species
UACGUAGGGUGCAAGCGUUUGUCCGGAUUUAUUGGGCGUAAAGAGCUCGUAGGCGGCUUGUCGCGUCGUCUGUGAAAUCCCGCGGCUCAACUGCGGGUCUGCAGUCGAUACGGGCAGGCUAGAGUUCGGUAGGGGAGACUGGAAUUCCUGGUGUAGCGGUGAAAUGCGCAGAUAUCAGGAGGAACACCGGUGGCGAAGGCGGGUCUCUGGGCCGAUACUGACGCUGAGGAGCGAAAGCGUGGGGAGCGAACAGG